CGGUAUCCAAGACUGGCUCCCGGGAAGCAGCCGCAGCCGGGAGAGAGACGGAAAGGCAGAGAGGAAGCACCUUAUUACCGCUCUCUCGGCCGUCUUCUCGUUGAGAUCCCGGGCCCAGAGAAGCGAAGCGGGACUUUGUCGAAAUAUGGGGGGAAGAACUGGGAGCCUCUGGCCCCCUUGGCGCCGCGGUGGAGUCCGACCCGGCGAGCCUCUGCGUAACGUCAGCGCGCUGGGUAAUUUACCUUCCCUGGGCGUCUGUCAAUAUGACUAAUUUCCACAGGGGUCAAAAAGCCUUUCUCCGGCAGUCCAUCUUGGAACGCUCUCUUACGCAGUAGACGGGGUUGGUUGUUUUGUUUCCAGCCCUAGAAAUAAAUACUCUUGGGGCGUCCCUGCCAGGGCAGCCUGAGAGGAGCAGAGGAAUAUACACGGUGUCAAUUAAAGUCAGUUUUCCUUGAACUAUGAACUGUGAUUGGGCGUAAACGAGAGCGACCUGCUUGCCUGUUAAUACACAUUACCUAACUCGUCCUUGAUACCAAUGCUUUCUUUAGAAACAGAAAAUCAAAAAGGAGGAAAAUAAUCAUUGCUCCAGUUCUUCUCUGCCGCUUGCAGAUGCCUAUUGAAAUAUUUGCUCUGCAUUUCAGUGUGUAACUUAAACGUAGAGGAUGUGCGCGUGUCUUGCUAAUCUGACCUAGACAAACAGUAAAUAUAUUAUCCGGGUGGUGUUUUACAAUAAUUUUUAAACUGCUGCCAACUUGUAAGUGUGAAUCAGAGCUGUGGAGUUAAUUAAACAUUCUCUGGGACGCCCCAGAAGCGGCUAAUUGAUGCUGGUAGCAUAACCCAGACACACUUUGAGGAGUGCGCGGACCGAAGCCUGCGUGGCUAGCGGGUCAGGACGAUUCUGUCUGCACAGUCCUCUCUUGUAUGCAGCAGGGAGUGGGGAGAUGAAGAGCACUGGCCCCUGAGGGCACCCAGUUGGGUCCCUUGGGUCUUGGAGGAGGUAAACCUCUCCAAUCUGGGGAAUUAGUGCCCAGCGAAAAGUGAAAGUCGCCAAAUAACUCAUUUUUCUCCCACCCAAGUUCAGGCACUGAGGCCCCAACUAAUAUAAUUCUCCGAGUUAAAUUUUUAACAAACCCUCUGGAAAAAACACGUCCCCACCCCACUUCUAAAGCAAGUAAAUGCCUGGAUUUGGAGCAAUUCGGUGCCUCAGGGAAACCCAAGGGAAACCUAAGAGCUAAGAUAACCAAGCAGAAGCCUAGGAAGCCUCACAGAGGGCCGUCUGAACUCGUGGUCCCUGGCUGCUGCCGGCGCACGUGAGUGACACACAGCCCCACCACCUCCCCCCACAGCCCGACCUCCUUACCUGCUCUGCCAUUCUGGCCACAUGCAAGCAAGCAAGCAAGCAAGCGCGCACACACACACACACACCCUUCUUUCCCUCUCUCAUCUGUUAGUGCAUUUAUGACCUAAUGAAAGUAUAUCCUUUAGGGAAAAGACUGUCUAUAAAACUUGAAAUAUGAAGAACCCAUUUGGAUAUUCCCACUCCAGGCCAGGCCUGAACUUGAAGUUUUUUAGCACAAACACCUUGACUCCUUCUGUUGCUUCUAUAAUCACCCUGUUAUUUUUACUAAACGAUGAGAAUUGGUUCUAAGUGACCUCUGCUCAUUUCCUGUGGAAGGAGAAAAGUCUCCAACCUGAGAAUAUAUCUUUAUUUGUUGGAAGGCAUUCUUUUUUGUUGGAAGGCAUUCAUUUGUUGGAGGGAAUUAAUUUUACUUUCUAUUCCUUGUCAUCUUGGAAAAACCCUGACACCACAUGUUCCAACUUCUGCUAACAGCUGGGGAAACCAAGGACUCUUUCAACUCCCUUCCAUUUCCUUCCUGCCCCACCAUUCCCCCCAGUUGCCACCUUUUUGGGUUUUACAAAUGUUGAUCCAUUCUUUCUGCUUGUCGCUUUGUGAAAUACCUAUGAGUUUCCAACAUAAAUGAGUGCCCUUUGGAAAUCCUACUGUUAACCAUCCGCCUUUGUGGGAAAAGGCAAUCUGAUUUUGUGUUUUGGGGCGGGUCUGUUUAUUGCCACAUAUGAAUAGAACAGAUAUUAUUUCCCUGUGAUUUUAUAUAUAGCAUACCUUUAAAUAAGACUAUUAAGUCUCUUCUAUUUUGCAAUUUGACCUUCGCUGUAAGAGUGCUUUAAGUUGUUUAUUAGCUGGGACUAUGCAACAGGAAAAGCUGCAGGAGAAAUAAACAAAAGAAUGAGCUGAAGAGCUCUGUCCUUUGGUGGAA